rnacentral:lncRNA from 1 species
UAUAGAAAGAAAUGCUCCCUAGCUGACCCUAGUGGCAAUCCAAGCUGCAUAUUGCAAUAAUCCUGUAAAUUACUAUGCUUUCUUAUACAGUAACUUGGAGUUAAUUAGUAAUUUAACAUUCCUCUACACUAUUAAAUGUCUUUUUUGCAUUAUAUUAUGUUGUUUCAUGGGCUUACCUUAACACUAAUGGGGUUUUGUUAUAUUUUCUCAAAACAGCACCAGCAAAAUAAAACUGAACUAGAAAAUUAAUUAGUUAUCUUUUUACCUUUGAUUUACCUGUUAUUAACAAUUAAGUGGUGGUACACAUUUUUAAAGUGGUUUCAGAGGUUACAUUGAGAUGAAUAUACUUCCAGAAUAUAUUAGAGAGGAAAUGUGAAUAAAAAUGAAUAGUGUACAUGCUUCAAGUGACUAUGCCAUAGAUGCAGAAUGCAAUGCAAACAUGUUUCAUAUUUCUGCUCUAAUAGAGUGGGUUAGUAAUGUGGGUGGCAGAAGGGAA